rnacentral:rRNA from 1 species
UGAGGAAUAUUGGUCAAUGGGCGAGAGCCUGAACCAGCCAAGUAGCGUGCAGGAUGACGGCCCUAUGGGUUGUAAACUGCUUUUAUGUGGGGAUAAAGUGCGUGACGUGUCAUGCAUUGCAGGUACCACAUGAAUAAGGACCGGCUAAUUCCGUGCCAGCAGCCGCGGUAAUACGGAAGGUCCAGGCGUUAUCCGGAUUUAUUGGGUUUAAAGGGAGCGUAGGCUGGAGAUUAAGUGUGUUGUGAAAUGUAGACGCUCAACGUCUGAAUUGCAGCGCAUACUGGUUUCCUUGAGUACGCACAACGUUGGCGGAAUUCGUCGUGUAGCGGUGAAAUGCUUAGAUAUGACGAAGAACUCCGAUUGCGAAGGCAGCUGACGGGAGCGCAACUGACGCUUAAGCUCGAAGGUGCGGGUAUCAAACAGG